UGCGCCAGCCCUUUGGGGACCACACGUCUCGCCGGGACCAGGUGGCCAGGACUUCUGAUGUCUGUGCAGAGAGGAAGGGGAGCUUUGCUGAGGACACCCGCCUGGUGCUGCCGAAAUCCCAGAGUGUGGUGCGCAGCACAGGUAUGGCUCACAUGGCUCGGGUGCUUUCCCCGCGUGAAUGGCAGGGCCGUGUUUGGGUUCAGUUCAAAUGGUUUUCUCUUCGGGGCACGAGGCUGACAGCAACGAUGCAGAAAUUACACGAUGCAUUCCCCAGAGCUUGACUGGGUCCAAAACUAGUCAAGAUCUGAAAGGCGUGCCUUGAGACAUGGCUGAAUUCCUAUUGCGUGGAGGGCUUCCAAAAAUAGUCACUUAAUGGUGACAUCGGUUACCCUCUUAAGAGAUGCACAAAUAGAGCGCAUCCUAGCUUCUACAGCCUAUUUCUCUUAUUUCACGACAUUCCCCCCCUGCAGUAUAGGUCUUGGGAACUAAUCUCUGUAUACAUUUUUGUCAAGAGAACAAAAUCCUCUAAGUCACACAGAUACACAGACACACGCUGAAGACCAGAUGGUCUUUCAGAGACAAAUUCCAGUGAUGAGCUUUCAGUUCAUGUAGACGAGAGACGCUACGGAGGCCCCUGGGGACCAAUAUCUGGGCCCCACCGGCCGCCUGAGGGCUGGCGGCAGGCUGGGUCCUGCGGGAGCAGAAGCUGAGACGGGGUUUGGGGUGGGAGACAUGGAAUGGGAAGAAGUAGAUGGAAGGGGGAAGGCGGACUGGGCAGCAGGCCUGACACGCCCCUGACGCAGGUGGGGACUCGAGCCGGCGCUGCCCAUCACGGUCCCCCAUGUAGGGCCGAGUCGGGGCUGCCGUAUGAGGGGCACAGCAGAGAGCAAGCGUGUGAACCUGGCCGCUGCCAGCCGGUGUCACCAGAGCAGGCAACACGUCCUCCCUGGGAAGGGGGAUCUGGGGAGAACAUCUCUGUGUCUGCCACAUUUUCAUAGAUCUUCUCAAUACCAACGAAUGUUUGUUAAAAUUGGUUUUAUUACUUCCUCAUCUGGCCAAGAUGGGGCUACGGGGCGAAUUUAUCCUUCUCCCUGAAACGGUAACAACAAAGUAAACAGAAAAACGUGAAACGAUGGUUUUCAAGACACCGGACCUCAGGCAAUGAAGGAUGAUAAUUCCUAAGGGAUGGAGACCUAGUGGCCUGCAGAGGGUUCCGUGCGGGUCCUUCAGAGACCCGGGAAACACUCGUUUGUGGGAAACUCACCUCAGGUGGGGGAAGGAGCCACAGGGAAGGAUUGAGGGACAGUGCCAGAGCUCAAACAGCCCCAACAAUGACACCUGUUCCGACAAAGGAGACUGGAGAAGGUCCCACAUCAUGAGACCUUAGGACAAGCACUCUGGAGGUCUCAACCCCAGGCCCAGCUCUGCUCCAGACCCAUCCAACAGAUGAUGAGAGCAAGAACUGACAGGAUCACACUCAACUGUAUUCAGAACACAAUUUAAGACUUGUAGAAGUACAAAAAUAUCCAACAUCCUACAAGGUAACAUUCACCCUGUCUGGCCUCCGAUCAAAGAUUAUCAGGCAGGCAAUAAGCAGGAAAAUAUGGCCCACGUUGAAAACGAGAUCCAAAUCAAACCAGAAUGGAGACAGAUGUUGGCAUUCGUGAAGACAAUAAAAACUACCAGGAAUCCUGAAUGGGCUGAAAACACAGCGGAUCAGGGUUAGGGACGCCACUAAAGCAACGUUAGUGCGAAACUUACGUUAGAAAAGAGUAAAGAUUUGAAACUACCACUUCAGCUUCCACGGUCAAAAAGUACAAAAAGAAGAGCAGAGUGGGGCGCCUGGGUGGCGCAGUCGGUUAAGCGUCCGACUUCAGCCAGGUCACGAUCUCGCGGUCCGUGAGUUCGAGCCCCGCGUCAGGCUCUGGGCUGACGGCUCAGAGCCUGGAGCCUGUUUCCGAUUCUGUGUCUCCCUCUCUCUCUGCCCCUCCCCCGUUCAUGCUCUGUCUCUCUCUGUCCCAACAAUAAAAAAAAAAAAAAAAAAAAAAAAAAAAAAACGUUGAAAAAAAAAAGAAGAGCAGAGUAAGGGGCUCCUGGGUGGCUCGGUCGGUUAGGUGUCCGACUUGGGCUCAGGUCAUGAUCUCACGGUUUGUGGGUUCAAGGCCCGCAUCAGGCUCUGUGCUGACAUCUCAGAUCCUGGAGCCUGUUCAGGUUCUGCCCUUCCCCUGCUCAUGUUCUGUCUGUCUGUCUCUCUCUCUUUCUCUCAAAAAUAAAUAAACGUUUUAAAAAAUGUAAAAAAAAAAAAAAAAAAGAAGAGCAGAGUAAACCCAAGUAAGCAGAAGAAAAUAAUUUAAUAAAGACCAAAGCACAAAACAAGGAGACAGAAAACCAAAACAGCAGAGAAAAUCAAUGAACCAAGAACUAGGUCUUCCAGAAGAUGGAUGGAAUCAAACCUUUGGGCAGGCUGCCCAGGGAAAGGGCAGAGAGGGCAGGAGGAACACAGUUUACCCACAUCGGGAAUGAGACUCAGCAUCACUACACAUUCUGCAGGCACUGAAAAGACAAUAUAACGAAAGGGCGGACUCCAUGCUUGAUGUCUGACUUCUGAGAACCUCUAAGCUACAGGUCCCCCUCCCUCCCACCUCACAUCUGGGCAGCUGGUAGACAAGCCCAAGUCAGCCCGGCCUGUGCGUGGGAGCCUUCAGACCAGUCCAUUUCUCUGCUUCCUCCAGAAGGCCGCCCUCGAUGAGGAGGCAACAGGUAAUGAGGGACUGUUGCAGACAACUGUAUGUCGAUAAGCCCACAACUCAGGUUAAAUUAUGUGAAGGGCACCAACUAUCAAAGAUCUUCUGGGGCGCCUGGGUGUCUCAGUCAGUUAAGCAUCCAUCUCUUGAUUUCGGCUCAGGCCAUGAUCCCAAGUAGGGCUGUGCACUGACAGCAUGGAGCCUGCUUGGGAUUCUUUCUCUCCCUCUCUCUCUGCCCCUCCCCUUCUCUCUCUCUCUCUCUCUCAAAAUAAAAAAAUAAAAAAAUAAAAAGAUCUCCUGAGAAGAAAUCAGCUGCAAGAAUAGCUAUUUGGUUAUUAAAGUUAAAUUUGUAAACACCGUCCCAGGCCCACACAGGUCCACUGGGGAAUUCUACCCAACACUCAAGGAAGAAGCAAUAGCAAAUAUACACAAACUUCCCAAAAAUCGAAGAAAUGGGGAUAUGCGUCCAUUCAUUCUGUAAGACCAGCAUUGCCCUGAAACCAAAACCAGGCAAAGAAAACCACAACCAGUAUCCCUUAGGGUCUCUGAUGAAAGAAUUCUUCUCAAAAUUUUACACGUCAAAUCAAAAACUAUAUGAGGGAGCUAAUACAUCAUAUUAUAUAUAUAGCUUAUAUAGCUAAUACAUCAAUAAGGGGGUGUCCCAGGAAUACAGGGUCGGUUUAACAUUCAAAACAAUCAAUGUUACAUCUGAAACAAAUAGAAUGCUAUAUGUCGAUUAUAUCUCAAUUAAAAAAAAUAAAUGUGACAAAGAAGGAGACAUUAUAGUGCUGUGAGCCACAACUCACAAACGAGAUAUAAAAAUCUGAAUAUGUGCCAAAACACAGCAGCGAUUUUAGAAUACAGAAACCGCAGGGCAUGCGAAGACAAAUUUUUGAGUCACACGAAUAGGACACCUUAACAUACCAUUUGCAGUACAAAAACCUAAGGCUCCAGAAGACCGACACAAUGUAAUAAACGCGCUAGAGCUUAUUGAAAUAUUUAUAUGACACCUUGGUAAUGGAAAACAUUCUUUUCAAGUACACAUUGAAUAGUCACACAAAUUGGUCUUAUUUUAGGACACAAAAAUUAUAUCACUGAGUUUCAUAAAAAAGAGAAAAAAAUAUUAUAAAACUUUCUGAUCAAAAUGCAAUUAACAUAGAAAUUAACAACAAAAGGGGCACGUGGGUGGCUCAGUCUUUCGAGCUGCCGACUUUGGCUCAGGUCAUGAUCUCACAGCUCGUGAGUUCGAGCCCCGCAUCAGGCUCUGUGCUGACAGAUCGGAGCCUGGAGCCUGCUUCGGAUCUUGUGCUUCCCUCUCUAUCUGCCCCAACCCACUCGCAUUCUGUCUCUCUCUCAAAAAUAAAUAAACAUUUAAAAAAAUUAAAAAAAAAAGAAAUUAACAACAAAAGUGCAAGAAGGCCUUCUACCUGGAAAUUUUAAGAAUUUAAACAACUGAAUGAAAUGGCACAUACAAAACAAACUUAACAGAAUCUCUAAAACAUAAUGAUAAUAAAAACACUGCAUAUCAGAAUCUAUAUAAUACAUUUUAAAGAAUAAUCAAAGGAAGCUACACAAUCUUAAACACAUGCCAGUAACAUGGAAAGAAAAUAAAGGAAUUAAAUUCUCACCUCAAAAACUAAAUAAACUAAAAGGAAAAACAAGUGAAUUAAUAGAUAUAAUAGCAGAAAUGGCUAGAAUAGAGAAAUAAUAGAUAUAAUUAACAAAAUAAAAUCUUGAUUUAUUAAAGUGAUACCAAAAUAAACCACUAAAUAAACUAAUCAAGAAAGAGAAAAGAUAAAAACAUACGAAAUAAGAAAUGAGAAGGGAAAAAGAACCAUUGGAUCAAAUGAAUAUUUAAAAAAAAAUUUUUUUUUACAUUUAUUUGUGAGAGACCGAGAAAGACAGAGCAUGAGUGGGGGAGGGGCAGACAGAGAGGGAGACACAGAAUCCAAAGCAGGCUCCAGGCUCCGAGCUGUCAGCGCAGAGCCCGACGCGGGACUCGAACCCACGAACUGCAAGAUCAUGACCCGAGCCAAAGUCGGACGCUUAAGCGACUGAGCCACCCAGGCGCCCCUCAAAUGAAUAUUUUUUAAUAUAAGACUACUUUUAAUGAAAUGUAACAUCUAGAUGACAUGGAAAGUUUCCUAAGACACAAUAGCUUAACGUAACUGAUGCCACUGGAGAGAGGAAGCUUCUGUACAACAAAAUAAAGUUAUCAAGAAACCAUCCCACCCAAAACCACCUGGCCCCGUUGUUUCCAAAGAAUUCUACCAAAUCUUCCACUUGCUUCAGAGCGCAGAACAGGGAAGACUUUCAAGUGCCUUUUAUGAAGCAAGUCAGAUGAUGGGACAUAAUCCUGAAAAGACAAUAUCGAAAAAGGAAAAUUUACAAUUAUUACUUAUAAAUAACCCGUGCAAUUACAGUAAAUAUACUAGCAGAGAAACCACAACACCACAUUAAUAUAAUAAUAUACCAGGGCCGAGUGGGAUUUUUUUCAAAAGUGAACACACUGAUACGGAAAGUUCAUACGGAAAAAAAUUUUAAAGGCAAGGAUAGCCAGGAAAACACGAAAAUGGAAAGGCUCCGAGGGAGGAUUAGACCUACCAGGUACUGGAAAAGACUAUGAAGCCUCUAUAAUUGCGGAACUGGUACCGGAGCAGACAGGCCAAUUUACGGAACAGAAAGUCCCAAACCAGACCUGAGAAUAUGUGACAGUGCAGUGUAUGGUGAGGGUGGCACCCACAUCACUGGGCCCAAGGUAAACUUUCCAAUAAAUGGCGCCAGAACUGGGUGGACAUUUAGAAAAAGAGAAAAUCAGAUCUAUGCCUUAUACGUUACAUUAGAAUAAACCCCAAAUGAAUCAGAUAUCUGAAAGUAAAACCGACAACAAUAACAAAAAAAUAUAUAGUUCCCUAUAAGAAUAAGAAAAAAAAAUCAUAUGGUCAUAACAGAAAAAAAUUGAAAAAAUUUAACAUCCAUUUUGAUAAAAACUCAGCAGUUUAGGAAUAAUCUCAUAUUCUCUGACUCUCUGACACCAACUAGGUGUCCAACGCUAAGUAAAUGCUGACACUAAUUACCCGGAGUUAGUUCAGGCCUCAUAGGCUAAGCACUCAGUCCUCCACGACUACCCCUACUUUGGACACCAGCUGAAAGUCUGAAGUUGCCAUAACCCCCCUCCUCAGUUUUUUGUUGUUUGCUUUUUUUUUUGUUUUUUUUUUUUUAUGAGGAAACUGGUGUCUUUUAAAAAAUUUUUUUUAAUGUUUAUUUAUUUUUGUUAAUUUUUUUUCAACGUUUAUUUAUUUUUGGGACAGAGAGAGACAGAGCAUGAACGGGGGAGGGGCAGAGAGAGAGGGAGACACAGAAUCGGAAACAGGCUCCAGGCUCUGAGCCAUCAGCCCAGAGCCCGACGCGGGGCUCGAACUCACGGACCGCGAGAUCGUGACCUGGCUGAAGUCGGACGCUUAACCGACUGCGCCACCCAGGCGCCCCUGUUUAUUUAUUUUUGAGAAAGAGAGAGACAGAGCACGAGCAGGGGAGGGGCAGAGAGAGAGGGAGACACAGAAUCUGAAGCAGGCUCCAGGCUCCAAGCUGUCGGCACAGAGCUGGAUGCGGGGCUGGAACUCAUGAACUGUGAGAUCAUGACCUGAGCCAAAUUGGACGCUUGACUGACUGAGCCACCCAGGUGCACCCCCCUCAGUUUUAAUAAUUCACUAGAACAACUCACAGACCUCAAGAAAACACUUGAUUUGCAUUCAUGAGUUUAUUGUAAGGAUACAAUUCAGGAACAUUCCAUACAAUGGUACGGGGCAAGGUAAGGGCUGGGGCUGAGGGGUGGGACAGCGCAAAGCUUCCACACCUUCUCUUCAUGCACCACUGAUGUGUUCACCAAUCUGGAAACUCCCUGAAUCCUGUCAUUUAGAGGUUUUUAUGGAUCUCCUAUCACAUGGGGGAUGAAUGAUCAAAUCAUUGGCCACUGAUGAUGGACCUCAGUCUCUGGUCCCUCUCCCUUCCCCAGAGGUGGAGGGGUGGGGCUGGAAGUUCCAACCCACUAGGCAAGGCUUGGCCUUUCUGGCAGCCAGUCCCAUCCUAAAGCCAUCUAGGGGUCCACCAAGAGUCACCUCAUUAGCGUAAAGUCAGACCUGGUAGAAGGGAGCUUGUGAAUAAUGAAGAUGACCUUAUCACACCUAUUACCCAGGAAAUUUCAAGAGUUUUAGGAGCUCCGUGGAGCACUCAGGUGGCUCAUACAUUGAGCGUCCAACUCUUGAUUUUGGCUCCAGUCAUGGUCUCACGGUUCAUGAGUUCAAGCCCUGUGACAGGCUCUGCGCCGACAGCCUAGAGUCUGCUUGGGAUUCUCCCUCUCUUUCUCUCUCUCUGCUCCUCCUUCACUCGCUCGAACACACACACUCUCUAAACAAACAAACAAACAAACAAACUUUAAAAAAAAAGAGUUUUAGGAGCUUCAUGCCAGGAAGCAAGGAUAAAGACCAAAUAUAUAUUUACCAUUAUACCACAGAAUACCACAUUAUACCACAAAAUAAAGCAACAAUAACAGGCAUCUACGAAACUUUCCACCAACAUCAUACUUAAUCUUGAAACACUGAAGUUUUUCCUUCAAGACUAGGAACGAGACAGAAAUGUCUGUUCUUGUCACGGGUACUUAACAUUGUACUGGAGGUUCUAACCAGUGCAAUAAGGCAAGAAAAAGAAAUUUUAAAACCAGAUAAGAAAGGAAGAAGCAAAACUGUCUUUCUUCAUAGAUAAUGUCAUCAUCUGUGUAAAAAAAUAUGAUGGAAAUACAAGCUACUAGAACUAAUCAGGAGGUUUAACUAUGUUGAAGGUUACGAGAUCAAUAUACAAAAAUUAGCAACAAACCAUUAAAAAUUUUUUUAAUUUAAAUAUUUAUAAUAGCAUCAAAGAAAUGAAUAUAAAAUGCUUUGUGGAAAAGUCGUAUAAAAGAUAGGUGACAUCUUUACCCUAGCCACUAUUAAAUAUUGCUGAUAGGAAUACAGAGGACCAAAAUGAAUGGAAGCAUAUGUGGUUUGUGCACAGGGAGACUCCGUAUUGUUGAGUUCAGUUCUCCCCGGACUGCUCUAUAAAGUUAAUGCAGUCCCAUUUAACACCCCAAGGUGUUUCUAAGACAGAGUUAUUCUAGUGAUCAAAUGGAAAAGCAAGGAUUCUAGAAUAAAACCAAAAAUGUUUUGGAAAAGCAAGGUGAAGGGCUAACAUUGCCUGGUUCAAGAAUUAUUAUGAAGUGAGGGUAAUCAAAACAGCAUUAUAUUGCAUAAAGAUAGACAAGUGGGCCUCCAGAAAGAGACCCACACAUAUAUGGACAACUGAGUUUUGACACAGCCGCAAAGGUUAUGCAGUGGAGAAAGGAUGGCUUUUUUAACAAAUAGUGCAGGCACCAUUGGCAAUCCGUAUGCACAGAGGUGGAAAGAAAGAGGGAAGGAAGAAGGGAAGGAAGGAAGGGAAAGAGGGAGGGAGGGAGGAGGGAAAGAAAGAAGGAGAGAGCACAAGAAAGAGAAAGAAAGAAAGAAAGAAAGAAAGAAAGAAAGAAAGAAAGAAAGAAAAAGAAAUGAACCAGGAUCCAGCAUACUACAUGCAAAAGUCAACCCUACCUAGGUCGUAGACCUGUAUUUAGAAAACACCGGAAACUAUACCACUUGUAGAAGAAAACAGGAGAAAAAAAUUGUAAAGCACAUGUCUGGCAAAAGAUAAAUAAUAUAUAUAGAACUCUCAAACUGAACAAUAAGAAAACAAGUCAAUAAAAACAAUCUAAGUGUUUGCACAGACUCUUCACCGGCAAAUAGCACAUGAAAAGCUUCUCAGCGUCACUGGUCAUAGGGGGAAAUGCAAACAGAAGCCACAGUGAGAUCCCACUUGCACCAUUAGGAAGACACCAAGUGUUGGCGAGGAUGUGGAGGAAGGGGGGCUCUCAUACCUGGUCGCUGGGAACGUGAAACGGUAUGAACACUUUGGGAAAAGAGUUUGGCAGUUUUUUUAAAAAAGUUGAACGUGUGAUCCAGUCAUUCCCAUCCCAGGUUUCAAAACCCAAGAGGCAAGGAAACCUACAUGCAUACAAAGACUUGCACACGAAUGUUCAUAGCAGCUUUCUUACAAGAGACAAAAACUGGAAACCACCCAAACAUCCAGACAAAUGCACAAACAAAUGGAAAGACACAGCAACCUGUAAAUGCACCUGAAAAUUGCUCUGUGAAAGAAGCCAGACAAAAAAGAAUACGAUCCCAUUUAUAUAAAAUCCUAGAGACUGAAAAGUAGCAUGCAGUUAGAGACCGAAGGGCGGGGACUGCUGGGGGAGGGCGGGUGGAGGACGGGCGGCCGGGCAGACGGGAGGAAAUUACAAAGGCACAAGCAUAGAUGUGUUCAUGACGGUGGUUGUGGUGAUGGCUUCCACUCAUCAAAUAUGUUUUGAAACCUAUCAAACUGGAUACUUUCUGCAUGUCAGUUACACUCAGUAAAGAACUGGGUUUCCUGCACUCCUCUGAGCCUGUGGCAUUAUCAGUAAAGAAAGCAUCACCUCCCUCAUUCGUUCAUCUGGGUGUUUGCAUCUGUUGGGUGCCCGUUGGGUGCUCGACACUGGGCAUCCAACAGUGAGUGAGAUGGAGGCCCCGCCCAGUGAAUUCACGCCCCUGAUGCCAUGCCACAGACACGUGCGCUGACCACCGGGUGUUUGUCAACCAGUAGCAUCUCGCUUCUGUUGGAGGAAUAGCGAUGUUUUAAGCUGAAGUUCGUUGGUGAGGGACAAACACCAAUAGGUCUGGGUGCUGGCCACACGGUACACAUGCCAAGUGGUCCCACUCCCAGCUCACUCCCGGCGGGAGAAUCCAGUUGUAUUUUUUUUUUAAUGUUUAUUUAUUUCUGAAAGAGAGAGCAGAGCAUGAGUGGGGGAGGGGCAGAGAGAGAGAGAGAGAGAGAGAGAGAGAGAGAGAAUCCGAAGCAGGCGCCAGGCUCCGAACUGUCAGCACAGAGUCCGACGCGGGGCUUGAACUCACGAACUGUGAGAUCAUGACCUGAGCCGAAGUCGGACGUUCAACCGACUGAGCCACCCAGGUGCCCCAAAUCCAGUCGUAUUUUAAAUGAGAUAGGGGUUGGGGACAUAAGUAAGCAAGGCUGUUCUUUCGUGGGCUUCUCCUUGGGAGUUUUGGUCCGGUUCCAAAACAAUCUCACUGUGUCGCCUAUUCCUUAUCAUAAACACAGAAAUUCAGAUGACUCAUUCAGUGUUGGAAUCCGUGUUACAUUUUUUAUUGUUGUAGUUGUGGCUCUGUUCUCUACACGGAGCCUAAAUUACUUAGAAAAUACAUCAUUUUAUAUUUAUCACAAAAUAGAUCAUUUGACAAGUGUAAGAAAGCCCACCACUUGUGGCAUUUAAUAUUUCUUGUGUAGGAUGGAACUGUAAGUUUUCUGGAAGCGAAGGAACUACCAAACUAAUACUAAAAAGUCAAGAGAAACAGAAAGAGGGAUUUAAAAUCUUACAAGACCCAAGUGCGUGACGGAAACAGAUGAGAUCGUUGGCCUGCUCUUUGCCCACUGCUUUCUCUCUGGCCUUCGAGAGCCCCCUCCCCACCCAGGAAACCCUCCUGUCCAUGGCCCUAGCACUUUCCAGACUGGUGAGAGUGGGCACGGCCGCUUGGCCUCUCCCGGCUGUCCCCGCUUCUGUGGCUCGCCUCUGCCGCUGCCCCCGCAGUGCCCCGGCCUCGCUGCGCCCCCUGUUCCCUCACCAGACAUGUCCCCUCCCCGGCAGCCCGCCCUCUCUGGCCCGGACACUGCAGUGGCUCCCACUAACAGCCGGCUUCUGCCGUUCCCACGUUCAAAAUGCCCACCUGCUGGCGGGGUGGGGGGGGGGCCACAUACUGCGAAUGAAUCCACAGUCUGGACCCCCUGGCCCUCCACCCUCCACACCCGCCCUCUGAGCCGGGCCGCGUCUCAGCCUCAUGGCCUGACGGCUCCCUUUGUCCCCAUGGCCUUUCUGCCUGGACAGCCUUCCCUCAGACGAGACCGCUGCUCGACCAUCGUUCUGUCCUGUCCUUGGUGGACAGCAUCUCCAAGACGCCCUCCCAGAGCACCGCAAGCUCAGGGCCGCCUCCUCCCGGACCUUCUGCUGUUGCCCCCACCGGCUGCGCAUCCUUCCGUCUUUCUCCAGGUCCGUCAGCACCCGGGACCCGUGUAUACGUGUGUACGUGUCCUGUCUGUCCACGUUGGUUGCCCUCAGGAGGAUCAGCCCAGUGGGGCAAAUAAGACCCCUUGGCACCGCGGGGCAGGCGACGAAUGGCGAUGAAGGAUGGCAGGCAUAUCUGUUUGUCCGCUCGACGGGCAGCCUGCAAACGGCUUCGGACCGGCGACUCCUGGUGUGCUCUCAGCAGGGGAGAGUCACGUCAUUUCCAGGUUGGCAUAUGAUGUUAGGAUGUGUGACCAGGGUGACCUACGGUGACACACAAGACCUGUAGCAACGUGUCAGGCGCAAGAACCCGCCACUGCCGGAGUCAGGGGGAGGUGCGGGUAGGGCGAGCUCAGCGUGUGUGGCGCCCAUCGUGUGCGGUGUGGUCGGCAGCCCAGGGAACCGUCCUCUGACGCCGUUGCCUCCAGAACCCGUGAUCCCUUUUCCACGAGCAGGAGUCUCAGACACAGGACUAUAUGCAGACGUUAGGUCCCAGAUGACGCCAGGGUCUGUGGGAUGUCACCACGCCUCCCGCAAGGGAAGACUAGUCCCAGAGCUGACCCGGGGCUGAGGUUCACAGGACCAGCGGGUGACGGACAGGGGGACCAGACAGGGAGGCGCUGUGGCCGCGGACAUCCCAGAGCAGGAGAUUGUGACUGUUUCCAGGACUAUCACAACGGGUGGGGCUGAGGUUCAUUCCCCUCAAAAUUAUUUGGGCGCAUUCUUCUAUGUUUUGCCACUCUUUCAACAAGGGUCUGCAUCUGAUUAUAAUAAAAACCCAUGAGCCGUGGCUUUUGAAAAGUG
rnacentral:lncRNA from 1 species